UACGUAGGGGGCAAGCGUUGUCCGGAUUUAUUGGGCGUAAAGAGCGUGUAGGCGGCCGCACAGGUCCGUUGUGAAAACUGGAGGCUUAACCUUCAGACGUCGAUGGAAACCGUGCGGCUAGAGUCCGGAAGAGGAGAAUGGAAUUCCUGGUGUAGCGGUGAAAUGCGCAGAUAUCAGGAAGAACACCGGUGGCGAAGGCGGGUCUCUGGGUAGUAACUGACGCUGAGGAACGAAAGCGUGGGUAGCGAACAGG
rnacentral:rRNA from 1 species